AUUGAACGCUGGCGGCAGGCCUAACACAUGCAAGUCGAACGAGUGGCGGACGGGUGAGUAAUGUCUGGGAAACUGCCUGAUGGAGGGGGAUAACUACUGGAAACGCUAGCUAAUACCGCAUACCAUCAGAUGUGCCCAGAUGGGAUUUGCUAGUGGGUGAGGUAACGGCUCACCUAGGCGACGAUCCCUCGCUGGUCUGAGAGGAUGACCAGCCACACUGGAACUGAGACACGGUCCAGACUCCUACGGGAGGCAGCAGUGGGGAAUAUUGCACAAUGGGCGCAAGCCUGAUGCAGCCAUGCCGCGGGUAUGAAGAAGGCCUUCGGGUUGUAAAGUACUUUCAGCGGGGAGGCGUUACCCGCAGAAGAAGCACCGGCUAACUCCGUGCCAGCAGCCGCGGUAAUAC
rnacentral:rRNA from 1 species